rnacentral:rRNA from 1 species
AGAACGAACGCUGGCGGCAUGCCUAAUACAUGCAAGUCGAACGAGACCUUCGGGUCUAGUGGCGCACGGGUGCGUAACGCGUGGGAAUCUAACCCUUGGGUUCGGAAUAACAGUUGGAAACGACUGCUAAUACCGGAUGAUGACGAAAGUCCAAAGAUUUAUCGCCCAGGGAUGAGCCCGCGUAGGAUUAGCUAGUUGGUGAGGUAAAGGCUCACCAAGGCUACGAUCCUUAGCUGGUCUGAGAGGAUGAUCGGCCACACUGGGACUGAGACACGGCCA